GAUGAACGCUGGCGGCGUGCUUAACACAUGCAAGUCGAACGGAAAGGCCGAAGCUUGCUUCGGUACUCGAGUGGCGAACGGGUGAGUAACACGUGGGUGAUCUGCCCUGUACUUCGGGAUAAGCUUGGGAAACUGGGUCUAAUACCGGAUAUGACGAUCUCUUGGAUGGGGUUGUGGAAAGCUUUUGCGGUAUGGGAUGAGCUCGCGGCCUAUCAGCUUGUUGGUGGGGUAAUGGCCUACCAAGGCGUCGACGGGUAGCCGGCCUGAGAGGGUGUACGGCCACAUUGGGACUGAGAUACGGCCCAGACUCCUACGGGAGGCAGCAGUGGGGAAUAUUGCACAAUGGGCGCAAGCCUGAUGCAGCGACGCCGCGUGGGGGAUGACGGCCUUCGGGUUGUAAACUCCUUUCGCAAUCGAAGAAGCCUUUUGGUGACGGUAGGUUGAGAAGAAGCACCGGCUAACUACGUG
rnacentral:rRNA from 1 species